ensembl:lincRNA
CCAGGUGUGGGCCUUGCAGCCAGCUCGGGGUCCAAGGGGCACUCCUGGGGUGCAAAGGAGGAUUUGUGCCAACCCAGAGGAUGGAGGAAACGACGGUUUUGAAAAGGUUUGUGAGGAGUCCCGGGUCCCCUGCUGCUCCGUGAGAAAUCAAACUUCUGGCACUGACAAAGCAUGAAGCCAGCAUUUUAGGAAGAGGGCGACCGGAUUACAAUCCCAGCCAGUAUGAACAUGAGGCGGCGCGCAGUCCUGAAGAGGGAAGCCGGGCUCUGCUGACCUCGCUGUGCAUGCUGGGAGUUGUCGUCUCUUCACUACUCCGGCCCCUUGUUUCAGGCGCUUCGGGACUACAAUCCCAGCAUAACCCAGGCUCGGGGACCGGGCGCAGUUCUCCGGCGAAGAGCUGGGCGGCGAGCGCCUGGCUAGGCAGGCUGGAAACCGUGGCUCUUAACGGUUCCCCACCGGUUGGUGGCAAGGCGGCUGAACUAGAAUCCCAGCAGGCGACAUGCGAGGAGGCGGGCAGCCAGGGGGGUUGGAAAAGGCAGUGUGGACCUCGCCGCUUCCACAACUAUGCUGGUCUACUGAUCGCGUGCACCUCCUUGCCAAGGCCAGUUCUUGGAGAGACCAGGAAGCCAAGAGUUUCCUCAAAGAAUGGGAAUUCCUUGGAAGCGAGAUUCAUUUUGAGUCAAGAAAGACGAAUCACAUGCAGUCAUAGGCCAUUGCCCAGGGUCUCAAGAACAGGGCCAGAAAGAAGAGCUGGGGCUGGUGGGAUUGUGGAGGUCCUCUCUCCCACCUGAAAAGCUACUGCUGCCUGCUGACCCUCUCAGGAAGAGACCUCUCUGGUCUCCAGCAUCUAAAACAGGCAAAAUUGGGAGGAUGCUUCUCUCCUCUGUGUCACACAUGUCCUAGAGAAAAUCUGUGUAUCUGAAUGACCAAAGAAAACUAUGAGAAAAAAUGCAAAAUCUGUGCCAGGCCAUUCAGUGUCUAGUUGGGGCUCUGGGGUGUAUGUACAUUUGAAGAAGACUGAAGGGUGCUAAGCCUGCAGGAAAUGUCCCUCAGACCUGCCUGUCACACCUGGAAUAUGACUGCCCAUCCAGGUUCAUGAUGCAGAACUGUCUUUAAAAGGCCACUGCAGAUAUGGAGAGAGGGAUUUCUAACCCUGAUAGAACAUGACCAGCUCUCCUGCUGGGGAAAGCCACAUCCAUCAGUGACAUGCUGCUUAAACUGGCCCAGACCACACUCUACUACCUAAGGAAUAAACCCCACAUUUGCUCUUUUUGGGUGAAGGCAGAGGGUGAGACAGGAGAGGAGUGUCCACACAGACAUGAGAAGCCUGCAGAUCCAGAUGACCCCCUUGCUGAUCAGCACAUUAAAGAUUGAUGUAUGGAAACAAUGACCCUGUAGCAGAUAAGCUUCUACAGCAGGCUUCAACGAUGCGUCACCUGGACCCACUGGCAGAGAAGUCUGCCCCCACUCUAUGUUGAUGUUCUAGGGGAUAAAAUUACUGAGACAGAUAUAAGAAAUGAUCUCUAUCUGUUGGCGAGAUCCGGACAGUCACUGUUAUGCAGACAGAAGUGUGCUCUCAUCAGCUUUCCACAGGGCAGGCUGUGGAAAUGUACCUUGUACAUUGAUUGUCCAUGGCUACAGACUCACCGUCAAAUGGGGGAAGAUUCCAAGCCUUCAAGGAAACCCUGAAGAGCGGUCACAGGGGACCCUCAUUCACUGCUGUGCCUUCUCACUGUUCCUAGAUUUAUUCCAGUUGUUAAGCAUUCAUGGCCAUUUAUCUGUGCAUCUGAUGCCAUGAGGUUUUUGCUGUAGGUAACUGAUGGAGUGAGCUGAGCUGCCAGGCUUCCUGGAGUGAUUCUUGGAUGCUGGGUCAUGUACUUAGGGGCCCUGAUGGGACUGAACUGGAAGGAGCCAGAAUAGGAUAGAACCCAACCCCUGAUGAGUGGGCACUGGUGGCCUGGCCUCAGGACCACAGGACACACUGUUCCCAGGCACAGACACCCUGGGCUUUUGUUGGGUCUUGGCCUCCAGGUAGGGCCUGGUGGGCAGCGGGCAGCGACUCCUGAGACACUACUGUGAUUCUCGGUGGUGGCUGUGGUAAAAGACCUGCAGGGCUAGAGUUUAGUGUGGGAUUCAGGAGGAACUGUGGCCUCUCCCAGUGACGGUGUGUCACUCCCAUUCCCAGCACGCAUUCCCAUGGGCCACGGCCUCUGCAUCACACACCUCCCACCAAGUCACCCAUCCAUGGGACAGCUCCCAUGCAGCAGGGUCAGGCUCUUACCUCCACCUCCAGAGCACAGACAGGGGCAGCUCUGUCUCACUGUAAGGCAAUGAGGAGAGCUAAGGACCUAGACAAGGCUGUGGGCCAUCCCCUUUCCUGAGCAGGCCUCAGGGAAGGACCAGUCCCAUCCCCAUCCAACCCAGGUCUCAGCCCAGGAGGCUGCAUAGGGAAGAAAGGACAGACAGGGCCUCCAUGCUGGCUGACACUCAGGAGGGGCCGGGGCAAGAGAGCAGAGGGAGCGCAAGGCCAGGCAGGGGCUGCUGAGGAUCCAUGGGGGCUCAGGCUGCACAAUGAGGCUGCCCCUCCUGGGCUGCAGGCAGCAUCCCCCAUGGAAGCUGAGAAAGUCCAGUCCUGAGAUGGGACAGUGCUGUCCAGGGGUGUGUGGCUGGGCCCUGACAGCAGUCUCCCAAAAAGUGACCACAUCACCAGGCUGAGUUCCAGGAAGGCUGAGAAGUGCCCAGUACACCGAGGAUGCACCUGGAGCCCAUCCUGUCUAAUAGACUCUGAUCAUCUUGCAUCCACCGGCCUCUCCUGCAUAUCAGCCACCACCCCUUCCCUUUUCCUCAUUUCUCCUUCGUGUCUAAACCUCUCUCCAGCCACAGUGGCCCUUCUUUUACCCUUGUCCUAUCAGAGACCCUGAGCAAGACUCCCCAGAUCCCAUCUACAGGUCUGCCUUGUCCACUUACUAACUGCUUUGCUGUGCACUGCUGGGGUGGCACGACAGGCAGUGAGGGUAACUGAGGGCCCCACAGGUGGCCAGCUUGGCCCUUUACCGCAUCGCUAGCCUCAGGGGGUUCUCAGGGUUGUCAACCAGCAGCCCUGGCUUGGGACACCUGACUGUCCUCCUCCCACUGUUCUUUUCUGACUUUUCUGAUUCAGCCUCUCCCGCCUGUCCUCUGUCCAUGGUGCUGACCAAGCCAGCAGGGAGCAGGUCCCCAGAGGGUGCUGCUGAGCUUUGGGGACCGACCUAGGCUCCUCUGCUGAGGGGUCCCAGGUGAGUCGCUGCCCCUGGUUCUACGUCAUCUGCUGUCCUCUUCAGCACCACCCCCCCUCACUCUAGGCUGGCUCCAUGCAGAUGCAUCCCUGAGUCACCAGUCUCAGAGUCCUCUGUUGUAGGAUGGAGAUUACUAUAGUUGCUGUACACAUUCAUAUUUAUAAAGUAUAGAAUCUAAAGUAAAUGAGGACUUUGAUUUGCAUUUUCCUGAUAUUAAGCACUUGUUAGCCAUUUUUAUAUCUUUUUUUUUUUUUUUUUUUUCUGAGACGGAGUCUCGCUCUGUCGCCCAGGCUGGAGUGAAGUGGCACGAUCUCAGCUCACUGCAAGCUCUGCCUCCCGGGUUCACACCAUUCUCCUGCCUCAGCCUCCCGAGUAGCUGGGACUACAGGCGCCCGCCACCAUGCCCGGCUAAUUUUUUGUAUUUUAGUAGAGACAGGAUUUCACCGUGUUAGCCAGGAUGGUCUUGAUCUCCUGACCUCGUGAUCUGCCCGCCUCGGCCUCCCAAAUUGCUGGGAUUACAGGUGUGAGCCACCGCGCCGGGUGCAUUUUUAUAUCUUUUUUAAAAGAUAAAUGUUUAUUCAGGUUCUUGUUUUUAAAUUAGGUUGUUAGAUUUUGGUGAAUUUUCUCUCUGUUUUCUAUUCAGUUGUGUGGGCU